GUAUAUUCACGCAAAUAUAUGAAACAAAGCCAUUUCCUGUUUGUUUCCAUUGAGAAGUUUCAAAAUCCUAGAUGGAAAUAAUUUCUGUUGAUUUAAAUCAUAACCGAUCAAGUCAUUGAAAGAGAUGAAUUCAGGGCUAUAUUUAAAUUAUUAGGUAUUAUCAGCCAUCCCCAAUGAUGUUUAGGAAAAUGAUAAGCUGAUCAUGAAAGACUUUGGCUACUGUGGUCAACAAACCAUCAGAACUUCAUCUGGUUACCUUUCUAUGUUGUCGUCAUAAGAGAGAACAGCACGGAGACCGUCAUUGAGCCUGAUGGAUUAGUGAAGUGUACGAUGUAGGAAAUAUAAGCUUUGUAUAAAAAGAAUUAACCAGGUUCGAAACAGGUUCAAAACAGUACAUAAUGAACUAGAUUUGCUACUGGAGUUGUACUAGAAAUAACCUAACCGUUGUGGUAGACCAAACAUUAUUGACCUAAUAUAUAAGCAUGUCCAAUGGAAACAGUAUUAGAAGAGUGGCACAUGGAUCAGUGGAAGUGUGCGGAGCUGACACACAUGUUGGUCUUUGUCUUCUUUUUUCUUUCUUUAUAAUAGACAUUAUCCUAGAAACAGCGUCUGCAAAUGAUUAAAAUAGUGUCAUUUUGUUUGAAUCUUGUCUUGAUAACAUAUGAUAUAGGUGUAAUCCAAAUAGGAUUUAUCCCUUUCACUUACAACGUAUGAUUUUCCCAAAAGCCAUGUGUAUAUAUUUAGGAAGCAGCAUUGUAGUGUAAGUUCUAUUUCAAAUUACAAAUCCUAGAAAUAAUAAAACUUCUUGUAUUACACAAAAAAUUGUGUACGUCUAAAGAACUAACAGAAAGGCAAUCAUGCUUGCCUGAAAGCCGCUUUUAAAAAUUAAUUUGUGUUGCCCUAACAUCGCUCAAUAUAUGUUGUUCAAGGAUGAUUUGAAGCAUCAAUAUAUGUUAUUCAAAGAUGAUCUGUAACAUCUAUGUAUGUUGCCCUUAUGGCAAUAUAAAUCAUCAAAACCAUAUUAACUUUUCAAUUAAAUAACGUUUCAAUUGACUGAAAUAUUCACGGCAAAACAGAGAUUUAGCUACAUCAUCCAUGUUCUAACAAAACUAUUGUAGACUGAACAAAUGUUCUAACAAAACUAUUGUAGACUGAACAAAUGUUCUAACAAAACUAUUGUAGACUGAACAAAUGUUCUAACAAAACUAUUGUAGACUGAACAAAUGUUCUAACAAAACUAUUGUAGACUGAACAAAUGUUCUAACAAAACUAUUGUAGACUGAACAAAUGUUUUUUUUACCUUUUUUUCUUGAGGAGAUUACGUUAUUUAUAUCAACAAUUAUCUCCCCUUGUUAUUUCUAUAUGCUCCAUAAUGAUAUUUUGCACCUAUGUUUAUGUUGUGUUGCACCCUCUUGUUCCCAGUCUAAAAGAUCAGCGGGUGGUUGACAAGGCAGCGGGUGGUUGACAAGGCAGCGGGUGGUUGACAAGGCAGCGGGUGGUUGACAAGGCAGCGGGUCGAGCAGGCCUAAGCAAAGUAAGCAAAUCUAGAAUAUAAGAUACACUGGGAGAAGGUCGCAAUACCGAGUUUAGAGUUUCCGUUCUCUCUCUUUCGCUCGUGAGAGAGUACCAUGGAAGUAUUGAGGCACAUUGAAGCCGAGUGAGGGAGUACCAUGGAAGUCUUGAGGCACAUUGAAGCCGAGUGAAAGAGUACCAUGGAAGUAUUGAGGCACAUUGAAGCCGAGUGAGAGAGUACCAUGGAAGUCUUGAGGCACAUUGAAGCCGAGUGAAAGAGUACCAUGGAAGUCUUGAGGCACAUUGAAGCCGAGUGAAAGAGUACCAUGGAAGUCUUGAGGCACAUUGAAGCCGAGUGAGAGAGUACCAUGGAAGUCUUGAGGCACAUUGAAGCCGAGUGAAAGAGUACCAUGGAAGUCUUGAGGCACAUUGAAGCCGAGUGAAAGAGUACCAUGGAAGUCUUGAGGCACAUUGAAGCCGAGUGAAAGAGUACCAUGGAAGUCUUGAGGCACAUUGAAGCCGAGUGAAAGAGUACCAUGGAAGUCUUGAGGCACAUUGAAGCCGAGUGAAAGAGUACCAUGGAAGUCUUGAGGCACAUUGAAGCCGAGUGAAAGAGUACCAUGGAAGUAUUGAGGCACAUUGAAGCCGAGUGAGAGAGUACCAUGGAAGUAUUGAGGCACAUUGAAGCCGAGUGAGAGAGCCUCGUUAAGUCCUUGAGUAGUCCGCUUUGAUAAGAAACUUAAGUUAGAGCUGCAUUGAUUUCGUUCUCUAUACACAAUGUGCAGAUUUUGUCGUUUCUAGGAAAUGUGUUGCUCAAAUGCCUUUUUGGUUGGCAUUGGAAGCGAAAAUUCAAUUAGCAAUCGAACAAAUGAGAUUUAAAACCAGUUUUUUUCCUUCUUCACACUUUUGCUCAAUCUCAGAUAUUUUUUUUUACAGAAUUAGGUUUUUACAUUAUUUUGAAAAUAAAUCAGUUCUAAUGUAAUAUGCACAUACUUCAAAUCAACGUACUUCGUCAUUUAGUUUUCUAUAUAAAACAUGACGACCUCAACUCCUAUUUGUGCUAGUAAUAAACACAUCUGCAAAGAAUCAAAACGAGGUUUCUAAACUCACUUUGGACCAAGCACAAUUUUCUCUUUGCUACUAUUAUGUCCAUAUUUUGGAAAAAAAAAAGAGUUCUCCGGGCUGAGUUGAUCCAAAAACUAAACGUUUCUGUCCUUGUUUAAGAAAAGUAAAAUUAGCCACAACAACUCGAAAAUGAGCUUAAUUUAAAAGAAUUCAGAUUAGAUCCUACAAUGUUGCCUAACAGAUUAAUAUUUGUUUUUAUAUUCAAGUGGCGCUGUUAUUUACUUAUAGGCCAAUUGUUGUAUUCAUUCCUUCGGUGCAGACACAUUCCAAUCUUUUCAAUCAAAUAUUUAAUGGCAUACAUGCUCUGUUUUUAGAAGGAAUGGUCAUGAUAUAAAAUAAAGUCGAAUAAAAUUUUAAAUUUCCGCUCACGUGCUGUUUUCUUGCAUUCAGAAUAGGCAGGCCGGUCUAUCUUAAUUGUUUCAGUUCUACAAAGUCUGCUAUGCAUAGUUUUUGUGCGAACUCAUUUCUCUGUAACAUGAAAUCAUUUCUGACCACAUUGCACAGUAGACGAGAAUAUGAGUUAUAUUUUGAAAACCUCUUCUAAGUUGUUUUGUUUCUUCCUACGGCACAGCGUAUGUUAAUUACAUAUGGGCGACAAUAUAUUUCUUUCAAUUUUCUAUUCAUGGGAAAUGGAAUUUGAUCUAUAAAUAGGCCUUCUAAUAUACCGAUUCUUAAGCGAAAUUUCAAAUUUAAGUAUUUCUAGCGGUUUUAGUUUGAAUGUACUAAAGAUAAUGACAAAUUUCAAUUAAAAUACAAUAUUAAUAUAAGGACAACUAAACACUAAAAAGAUCAUUUGCAAUUUGAACUAUCAUUGCAUUGUCAUGGAUAUGUCUAGCCAGUGUAGGACAUGUUAAAGAAAGUCACUGCUAUUUUGAAUCCCAUAGAAGAUCAAAUUGUAAUUACCUUUUAAUGUUAGAAAGUAACUUAGCUAGUAUGAUUUUAUAUCAAAUCGAACAUUAUGUAUGUUUAUUAAAUAUGAUUAAUGACCUCGUAGUCGUGUGUCUCAAAAUGCUGAAGAGGCUGGUGUAUGUAUUGAAGUCAUUUCAAAUGUCCAGAUUUGCAGUGUUUUAAGUUAGAGUUUAUUCGUCAACGCAAGGGACGUAACUCGGUGUUCCCUCAAUGGGAAAGUCUUCUGUACUUCCCACUCUCCCAAACCGCUGAGCUGUUCAUUUGAGCGCGGACGUAGUGGGCUUUACAAGUAAAGAGUUGUUCAAGUUUAGGUCAUCAUUACGGGCUGUAAUAGUUUAAACCUUUAGAUUGUCUUGCUGUGUAGUUUUUGCUGGAUUGUAGGUUAUUGAAACAUAUCCUUUCCUAUAUGGUCAGAGCUAAUGAGACCCAAAUUUCUUUUCCACACUUUUGGUCAGUUGCUAAAUCAAUUCCCAUCUAAACAUCCAAAUCUUCUGUUUUCACUACUAUACUGAACAAAUAAAAAAUGCGCAGGGAUAUAUGGAGUACUUCUACCUUUGUCGUCAUCUUUAGCGUAGGAUUAAAUCAAGUUGUUAAACAUCAUCCGUAGUAAAAGAUUGCUCCAUAUUACAUAUAUUGAAGCCACAAAGUCAUGAAAAAUCGGCCACAAUAUGGAAAUAGCUGAUAAUUUUAAAGCUACCUUUUGGUGUUUCACUUAAGAGUAAGUACAAACUUGUUUGUAUGAAGUCUAUGCAUAGUGUAUAAUGUACAUCAACAUGUUUUGAAACAAUAUUUCAAUGCUGGUUCGUUUCGCAGUUUUAUUUCAAAUACAUCUUUUGACUUCCAAGUGUAUGAACUAUGAAACCAUUUCAAAGAAACAAAUAUGUCAAUGUCGUAUUCUAAAGUCAUUCUCCAAACUAAGAAACCAUUUGGAAAGAAACAAAUAUAAGAAGUACAUCAUAUACUUCAAAAAGUACAACCAUCACGCUCCUGGUAACGUACAAAGUAUGGUCUCAUGUACAUUUCAUGUGAAUGUUCAUUUCACAAUUCAAAUCGAUACUGGAGGUUAAAGUUAAAAGUCCUCAGGACUAAGCGAAUAUGACACUUUUAUGCGCAAGCAGCAAGGUCGUGAUUAAUUACAGAACUCUUAACAGACGAGAACAAUGGCGGACAUUCAAGACCUGUUAAUGAUACAACAUACUUGUCUGUGCUUGCAAACACUAACAGCGAACACCCCGGAACAACGCUGAGCAAGGCUGUACUCUGCUGACCAAAGUUCGUUCUCUUCUAAAAAAUAAAUGUUGUGGUUGGAACUAUCCGAAAAAAAAAAUCAGAUACGCAGACGUUGUUCUAUGGUCCACCAUAUCAGACCCCAGGGGCGAAACGGAUCUUCUGAUGGUUCCCUUUUAGUAAAUAACAAGGCGGAUUUACUUAAUCUUUAAACAAGACCGUCUUGCAAUGCAUAUCUAUUAUCUAUUUUUAAAAAAGGUGAUCAAGGCGUUACUCUGUUCUCAAAUUGUGCAAAAUCCUCCUUGGCUAACUUUAUACUCAAGAAAGUGAUGUAGAUGUAAGCGCUAUAAAAAUCAACCCAGGCGCCAUUUCGUCCUCACUGACAUAGAGGAAAGUAGCUGGCAGCGGAUGACAUCUGAAAGAGACAGUUGGAGAGCUCUCACAAAAGGCUGCGGGACAAACAUUUGAGAUUCAAAGAAAAGCCAUUAUUGAAGACAGGCGCAGAAGACGGAAAGAAAACGUAACGUAGAUCUUAAUUAACAGGCUGACAGUGGACAACGGCUUUGUCUGCAGGAAAUGCGGGAAAAUAUGCAGGUCGCAACCUGGUUUGCGUAGCCACGUGAAACACUGCAAUCAUCACUAAUCUCCGGAAUGGAAGACAUUGCCAUUAUUAUUAUAUGUAAGCUAGUGUAGUUUCAAAAAAACAAUCUUUUGCUAUGCAAUAAAUGCAUGAAACGUACAGGGAACAGUAAGUUACAUACAGACAUCAAAACCAUUUGACCAAUCUGGAUAAAACUUGGCAUAAAUGUUCCUUAGAUCACAACGGUGAUCUUUGUGUAUUUUAAAGACCUAUUAUCGAACUUGUCUUGAUUUUUAUCAAUAUGUAACUUAUUUAAUUCAUAUAAUUGACCUUAAAAAAUGUUGGUCUUUUUUUUUUCAUUUUAAAAUUAAACAUUCGCUUUAAUUGUAUUAAUUAUAUAUUUUGAAUUUAGUUAUCGCGCUAGAUCUAGGUCAAGUCUAAGGAUACAACAUCUGUAUCUGUUAUGUAGGUCUACCCCAAAUUCUUUAGUCAUUGACAACUGUGGUUUAAAUAUUCCUUAGAUUCAGAUCUAUAUAGCUUAAUACAAGAACGUUUUUAACUUACAUUGUAAUAGUCAAGAAUUGCUAUUUGCUGCAGUCUACUGAGAAUAUUUCACUGUUUAUGUGAACAAGCAAACGUCAUGAGAUUUGACACUGCCAAAAGGGUGACACUCUCUGGGGUCUUUUGAACAUACUAAUAUAACAUUCUUAAUUUAUAUACUUAUGGUACGCUCCCAUUCAAUUUAUAGCAAUCGAUCAUACUUUUCAGAUCUAUUUACUCUAAUUUAAAUCUUGGUUUAGAACUUACGUGGGUGUUUUAGCAUUGAACUAGCCUAUUUUAUUUCUUGGAUAAGUAGCAUAGAAAAGAUGACACUGGUAAUCUAGCCCUCCCCCCUCCCACCCAUUGUGAGCUCUGAAAAUGAUGCCCACUAAGGUAUAUACAAAACGAUUAUUUAGGUCUAUUUCAAAUACAUAGAAUUCAUUCAUAUAGUUUGAUAGAACAUAAGCCACGCACUAUCCACUACGUUUUCUCUUGGCUGUAACAAAAUAAAAUGAAAAAAGAUGUGCAUCAAUGUGGAAGAAACUUGCUACGAAUAGGAAGCUUUUCCUAAACACGACCGCAGUGGGUCAGUAGGCCUAAAGCUCACAGUUUCUCACCAGGAUAGGGAAAUGGCAUUAUAUAUACGUACAAAUCUACCUGACCAGAGGAGAGUACGGGAAUAUAACUAUGAUCAUUAUUUUGCUUGAUUGUUAUGCCAAGCUAAUUAAUUUAAUUACUCAAAUACGAGAAAAGUGGUGCCCUGCGAGCAUUUUAUAUAUAUUAUUACGAAUUAUUAAAAAGCAUAGAUACCUUUUCAUAUAUAAGCAAAAGAAAAUAUUUUUUUUUAAUUCGAGAAAAGCCGGGUAAAAUUAUAGCUAGUGUGAUAUCUAAAAAUCGAUUUUGUCAAGUCACUUAGGUUGGCAUAUUUUUAAAGUUCAAUAGCCUUAUUGUGCAUUAUGAUUUUUAUAAGUUCGGUUAUGUUAAUAAAUGAGCUCACAUUAUGGUGUUUGUCACCAGUUUAGUGUGGAUGAUGCACAACAGAUUAUUUAGUGCUGAAAUAAGUCUAUAAAAUGAAAAGACCAAAAGCACACUAUUUAUUUGAAUUAACUUCUUGAAUAAAUAUUUUACUUUUUACAAAAGUACGUAUUUAUAACAUUGUCUGCAUACUACAAGUAUUUGUGUCUGUCAACUUGUGUGAUUCGUUUUUAUGUGUAUUCACUGUGUGACGGAGUUGAAAUGAUUAUAUACUCAUACAUUCACGUUCAAUUAUUAUUAUUAUUAAAAAGACUAAACAGCAAGAAUGUCUUAUAUUUAUAUUUAAUGUAAAAUUUUCAGACGAUAGGUCUCUAAUGUUGUCUAUAACAUCGUAGAGUUUGUUUCAUUUAUCAUCUUAUGUAAUCUAUAAUAUUGUAGAGUUUGUUUCAUUUGUCGUCCUAAUACACGAUCCAUGUAUUCAGCACUUCUAGUCAAAGUCAUUUUUGUUGUUUUUAUAUCCUUCUUUCUUUUUAUUCAACUGUUCGAGAAUUCCAUGUUAAGUAGACAUAGCUACUUUAGACACGCCAUUUCAUCCUGGUUAUAUUGUCCAUGUUAAGUAGACAUAGCUACUUUAGACACGCCAUUUCAUCCUGGUUAUAUUGUCCAUGUUAAGUAGACAUAGCUACUUUAGACACGCCAUUUCAUCCUGGUUAUAUUGUCCAUGUUAAGUAGACAUAGCUACUUUAGACACGCCAUUUCAUCCUGGUUAUAUUGUCCAUGUUAAGUAGACAUAGCUACUUUAGACACGCCAUUUCAUCCUGGUUAUAUUGUCCAUGUUAAGUAGACAUAGCUACUUUAGACACGCCAUUUCAUCCUGGUUAUAUUGUCCAUGUUAAGUAGACAUAGCUACUUUAGACACGCCAUUUCAUCCUGGUUAUAUUGUCCAUGUUAAGUAGACAUAGCUACUUUAGACACGCCAUUUCAUCCUGGUUAUAUUGUCCAUGUUAAGUAGACAUAGCUACUUUAGACACGCCAUUUCAUCCUGGUUAUAUUGUCCAUGUUAAGUAGACAAAGCUACUUUAGACACGCCAUUUCAUCCUGGUUAUAUUGUCCAUGUUAAGUAGACAUAGCUACUUUAGACACGCCAUUUUAUCCUGGUUAUAUUGUCCAUGUUAAGUAGACAUAGCUACUUUAGGCACGCCAUUUCAUCCUGGUUAUAUUGUCCUUGUUAAGUAGACAUAGCUACUUUAGACACGCCAUUUCAUCCUGGUUAUAUUGUCCUUGUUAAGUAGACAUAGCUACUUUAGGCAUGCCAUUUCAUCCUGGUUAUAUUGUCCAUGUUAAGUAGACAAAGCUACUUUAGACACGCCAUUUCAUCCUGGUUAUAUUGUCCAUGUUAAGUAGACAUAGCUACUUUAGGCAAGCCAUUUCAUCCUGGUUAAAUUGUCCAUGUUAAGUAGACAUAGCUACUUUAGGCACGCCAUUUCAUCCUGGUUAUAUUGUCCUUGUUAAGUAGACGUAGCUACUUUAGGCACGCCAUUUCAUCCUGGUUAUAUUGUCCUUGUUAAGUAGACGUAGCUACUUUAGGCACGCCAUUUCAUCCUGGUUAUAUUGUCCUUGUUAAGUAGACAUAGCUACUUUAGGCAAGCCAUUUCAUCCUGGUUAUAUUGUCCUUGUUAAGUAGACAUAGCUACUUUAGGCACGCCAUUUCAUCCUGGUUAUAUUGUCCUUGUUAAGUAGACGUAGCUACUUUAGGCACGCCAUUUCAUCCUGGUUAUAUUGUCCUUGUUAAGUAGACGUAGCUACUUUAGGCACGCCAUUUCAUCCUGGUUAAAUUGUCCAUGUUAAGUAGACAUAGCUACUUUAGGCACGCCAUUUCAUCCUGGUUAUAUUGUCCAUGUUAAGUAGACAUAGCUACUUUAGGCACGCCAUUUCAUUCUGGUUAUAUUGUCCAUGUUAAGUAGACGUAGCUACUUUAGGCACGCCAUUUCAUUCUGGUUAUAUUGUCCAUGUUAAGUAGACGUAGCUACUUUAGACACGCCAUUUCAUCCUGGUUAUAUUGUCCUUGUUAAGUAGACAAAGCUACUUUAGACACGCCAUUUCAUCCUGGUUAUAUUGUCCUUGUUAAGUAGACAUAGCUACUUUAGGCACGCCAUUUCAUCCUGGUUAAAUUGUCCAUGUUAAGUAGACAUAGCUACUUUAGGCACGCCAUUUCAUCCUGGUUAAAUUGUCCAUGUUAAGUAGACAUAGCUACUUUAGAACGCCAUUUCAUCCUGGUUAUAUUGUCCAUGUUAAGUAGACAUAGCUACUUUAGGCACGCCAUUUCAUCCUGGUUAUAUUGUCCAUGUUAAGUAGACAUAGCUACUUUAGACACGCCAUUUCAUCCUGGUUAUAUUGUCCAUGUUAAGUAGACAUAGCUACUUUAGACACGCCAUUUCAUCCUGGUUAUAUUGUCCAUGUUAAGUAGACAUAGCUACUUUAGGCAAGCCAUUUCAUCCUGGAUAUAGUAUCCAUACCUACUUUAGGCAAGGCAUUUUUUAUAACCAUUUCAUCUUGAUUACUAUGCCCAUGUUUUCAUAAACCAUCACAAUUUAUUUAUUAUUUGGUACUUUCCUAAUGUUUACUGUGAAUGAGAGUGACCUCAUGUAGAAGACUUGUCUCAAAUGUACUUUCGUCUAUUGUGAAUAAAAGCACACUUUUUUUUUUGUCAAUUGUGAAUAAAAGCACAAAUUUUUUUGUCUUAUUAAUGUCAUAAAUAUCAAAUUAUUUUACAAAAAAAAAAAAAAGGCCUUUUAUCGGCUUGCCAACUGUUCGCUUCGGUUAACUAAUAUAAUUUUCUACUAUAGACAGUAUUUGACUAUAUUAAAUAUCUACAUCUAUGUCGCUUCGGAUAUAGCUACUUAGUUUGGGUAAGAGUAUUCAUUUGUAUAGGAUAGAGUAACUUUUUCCUUACUUCAAAUUUACUUUUUUUCUGAACGCUACAAUGAUUGUGUCUAAAGCUUCUCGUUAAACUUCUAAGCUAGACAAUGUCUGGUCCAACACUAUUGUUAUUUCUAGAUGAACAAAAAGAGUACACUCAAGUGGCUUGUUCCUGAAACAAGUAGUUUGUCGAUCCAUCAUUACUCCAACGGCUGCUGGUUUUCUACUCAGAUAAAACUAGUCAUGCUGAAGAACCAGAAUAGAACCACUUACAAAGUAUUGGGUGAAAGAAGUAUUAGCUUGUAUCGUCUGCUGUACAUUUCCUAAACAUAGAAAGAGAAACAAUCCCAAGGC